rnacentral:lncRNA from 1 species
GAGGAGAAACUAUCAGAAAAAAGACCAAAAAUUUAAACUAAAAAAAAAAAGAUUUUAAAAAGGUAAAAUAAAAUAAAAUAAGACUUUGCUAAAGAACCAUAAGAUAUAUGUCAUGGGGAGUAGAAUGUGGUGAUUUGAAUAUGCUUGGCCAAUGAAAGUGGCACUAUUAGGAUGUGUAGCCUUGUAGGACAAAGUGUAUCACUAUAGGGGUGAGUUUUGAGGUCUCCUCCUAUGCUCAGGCCCUGCCCAGUGUGGAUACGUCUCCUAUGUGGUUGCCUGCAGGAGAGUCUUCUCCUGGUGGCCUUCAGAUCAAGAUAUAGCACUCCUGGCUCCUGUAACACCAUAUCUGCCUGCACGCUGCCAUGCAUGAUAAUGGUGGACUGAACCUCUCAAACUGUAAGCCAGUCCCAGUUAAAUGUUUUCCUUUAUAAGGGUUACCUUGGUCAUGGUGUCUCUUCACAGCAAUGAAACCUAAACUAAGACAUAGGUUAAUUACAUAUUUAUAUAGAUCAAGAGUAAUAAAUAGUAAACUGGAAAAUAACACUUAAAAUACUAUAAUAUCCAAAAUACUAAGUUCUAUGCUUAUUAUUCAUCUUUGGAUAUAGAAAGUUAAUCUUUCUAUCUUGCUGUCCAAGGAAAGUAAAUAAUAACAACCUCUACAAACCCUAACAGAAAAUUUUUAGAUGAGUAAAAGGGUCAAAUUUCUAUUCAAAUGAAGAUAAUUAUUUAGGAAAUACACAUCAGUAUAUAAAAUGCUAGCACUACUAUCAGCUGGUAAGACAAUUACCAUCUUCAGCCUAUAAAAAAUGAACAUUUUAUAAUAAAACAUAAUGAGCAAUACAAGAGAUAGAGGAUGGUAAAGAAAUAUUCCAUGGUCUCAUGUAUCAUCACAAAAGGCAAGGGAUCGGAGGGAUGAUUGCACAGGCAUGAACAGUGGACAUCUGCAAAACAGUAUUUACCAGAUGUGACAACAGUGUUGCACAUACCAACAUACAAACAAAGGCUAUGAUGGCAUGCAAAAAAAAAAAAAAAAAAACCCUAAAUCAAAGCAUCCAAAACAAAAUCAAACCAUCGAAAAUUACAUCCCGGAUGGAGAAGGGAUUUUAAGUAGCUAAGGAGCUACUGAUAACUGAGGGCAACUAAAGAGAACUAGAGUAGUUUUGCUUUUUUUGCUUUUUGCUUUUUGCUUGCUGCUUGCUGCUGCUUGCUUGCUGCUGCUUGCUUGCUGCUGCUUGCUGCUUCUUUUGCUGCUUCUUUUGCUGCUUCUUUUGCUGCUUGCUGCUGCUUGCUGCUUGCUGCUUCUUGUUUCUUGCUUCUUGCUUCUUGCUUCUUGCUUCUUGCUUCUUGCUUCUUGCUUCUUGCUUCUUGCUUUGCUGGGAUGUAGCCACUGAGAAGCUACCUAUACUCCAAUAGAUAGAUUCUCCUAUUCACACAUACAGGGAGCACUAAGUAGACUCAAUUAAAAGGAAACAAAAAGCACAAAAAGUUGGGAAAGAAAAGCAGUGAAUGGGAUUGAAGAACUGAAAAGAAGGACACAUAAGGAGUAGAUUUGAUCAAAACACAUAUGUUUAUAUAACAAUAUAAAAAAAUGUUAAGAAAAAUAUUUCACUGAACAUUCAUCUAUCCUUAUGGCAAAGUCAUGCAAAAAUCAUGUUUUUCUACCUUCUCAGGGGCUAGAGAGAUGGCUCAGUGGUUAAGAGCACUGACUGCUUUUCCAGAGGCCCUGAGUUCAAUUCCCAGCAACCACACACAGAUGGCUCACAACCAUCUGUGAUGGAAGCUGAUGCCCUCUUCUGGUGUGUCUGAAGACAGCUACAGUGUGCUCAUGUUUUUCUAUCUUCUCUAAUUUCAAAAUAGACUAAAAGUGAAAUUUAUACAGAGAUAUAUGCUUAAGGAUACACUGAGAUUGGUAAGACAGCUCCUCCAAAGACCCUGCAAUUAGAAGUCAUGCUAAGCACCAGGAACUAAAGUAAAAUAAAUACGUAAUUAGAUGACCAGCCACUGUAAAAUAAAACUAAAGCAAACUCCAAACUUCUAAUUAGGAGUCAAAAGAAAAACAAAAACAAAAACUAAUUUUCCCAAAGUAGAAAAGAAAACCAGAGAUAAGUUAAAUAAAACACGUCUUUCUUCACAGUGUACUAUGAAAAAAAUAAUUCACUUAAUAUAAAUAUCUCUUGUUUUUCCUCUGUGAAAAUGUACUUAGCUACAGUGGAUGGUGCUGAAAUACCACACUCUCUCAUGUAUGGGUCUUACACAGUUUACAUAUCUAGAUACAUAAAAUCAUGUAUGUGCCAGUAUCAUGGAAGAAGUGAAUAUGUAUGGGGUCUGGCAGACAGUAGGAGGGGUAAGAUGGGGAGGAAAGAGGGUAGAAGAGACUUGGGGCAACAUACAUGAAAACGGUCUUAUGCGAUUCAACCUAAUAGAUUUUAAAAUAAGUCACUUGCCAAUUUUGACUAGGGGUUUGUGUUAUCUAGGCAACUUCACCUCAAGAAAGCAGAUGACUACCACUGCUACACUAUAUUCUAAGGCCUAGAGAUAACCUCCCAUAAACCAAAACAGAAGGCAGCUAGAGCAUUAAAAUAGCAUUUUGUGAUCCUGAGAACAAACAGGUAUUACUUUUACAUGGUUUCAUAAAAUAAAUAAAAGAACAUUAAAGAGUAUACUCUGCAAUCAGUUUGACGUUAGGGUCUGUCUGAUCACGCAGCUGGUGGAGGCACUUCCCUGCAGGCCUGGCAGCAGGGAUCCACAAGGGGGCAGGAGCGAUCACCUCAGAGUUGUCUCUCAUCUCCAUAAGCUAUGAGCUUGACUGUAUGCACAUACACAUACACACUAAUUGUUAUGUUUUAUUCCACAUUAAAAUAUUUUAAGUAAAUGCUGUUUUGAUUUUGGUUGUUUUAGUUUUCUGUUUUGUUUUUUUAGUACUAUCAAUAAAACCCAGUUAAAUUUGCCUUAUGCAUGGUAGGCAAGUUCUCUUUUUGAACUAAGAUUCUUGUCUUUUUUCUUUUUUGUUGUUGUUAUUGUUGUUGUUGUUAUGAUGGCGGUGGUGGUGGUCUGGACUGGUUUGUUUUGUCCUGUUUUGUUUUGUUUUGUUUUGUUUUGUUUUGUUUUUUAAAGGGUCUUCCUAAGCUGCCUGUCUUACUUUUCUAUUUCUGGAUUUCUGUGUAUAAAACAUCACGACCAAGGAAACUUACAAAAGGAAGAGUUUAUUGAGAGAUGACAGUUUAAAAAGGUUAGAGUGCAUGACUAUCAUGAUGGAGAACAUGGCUGUAAGCAGGGGCAAGCAGGCAUGGAGCUAGAACAGUAGCUGAGUUCACAUCUUAACCACAAGCAUGGGGGAGAGAGAACUAACUGGUAAUAUAAACUUUUGAAAUCUAAAAGCUCAUGCACAUUGACAUUCCUUUUCCAACAGGCCAUACUUUCUAAUCUUUCAAAGCUUUCACAAACAGUUCCACCAACUGAAGACCAAGCAUUCAAAAUAUAUCAACCCAUAAAGGCCAUUUUUUUUAUUUUAAUAAUAUUUGUGUUAUUUAUUUGGGUAUUUAACAUUAUGUACCCCAACCACACUCACCUCCCAGUUCUCCCAGGUCCAUCCCUCCAUCCUUGUUACCCUGCCCCAAGAAAAAAAAAAAAAAAGAAAAAAAAGUGCAAUUUGUAUUGUCCAUAUACUCAAUGGAGUACGGUCAAACUCCCAGUGGCCAGCCCCUUAAAGAAAAUGCAGUCCUUCCUCACCCGCUCCCCAGCCAGGAGCCAUCAAUUGUGGAGCACUACACUUCAGCAUCCUUAUCACAAUUUUUUAGAGUUCUCUUUGAUGGUUUUCUGUCUAGGUUGUCUAGGGGUGAGAGUAGGGUGUUGUCACAGAAGCCUUCUAUGUCACUCUUUCUCAACUUUGAGUCUACAGUCAUCAAUACCACUUUAAAAGUAGCUUCCUUGCCCUUUAUAGUCAGUGGGAUCAUGGAUUCUGGUGACAGCAUAGACAGAUAUCCACACGGCUUCUAGCAUCAAC